AUUUGACUUCGACAGGCCCAGAUCAGAUUUUAAUUAAAAGUUUUUGCCUUAUUCACAUACAUAAGAAUUUUUCAUAAUAGUGAUAGAACAUCUCUGCCAGUAAAAAAGAAAAUGUGUUAAGACUCUGACGAUGAAAAGCCCAAACUGACAAAAUGAUUCAAAAAUAUAAGAUAAAAAAGGAAAACUUUGGGUCAAAAAUAAAAGUGAUAAAAAGUCCAGAUUAUGUGGUUAUCAAUUCAAAUUGUGGCAUAAAAACACAUAAAUUAGAGUCAAAAUUGAAACUAUAAAGUCUGAAUUGUUUAAGUAAAGGUCAUUAUUACAGGAAGGCAAGUCAUAACUUUUCUCUUAAAGUCAAAAUUCCCAGAUGAGGAAUUUAAAUUACGUAAUAAAAAGUGAGAGUCAUAAAAGAGUCAUGACAGUGAAAUGAAAAGGUAUUAUUCUGGGAUUAAAAACCCAAAUCAUGCAAUGGCUUGUCUUGGUCUUAAAAUAAAAGUCUGAAGGUUUUGAUAAAAUGACGAGAUUAAAAGAUAGAAGAUCUAGAAUAUAUAACAAUAAUUGAAACAAUAACCUAAAAAUAAUGAAAACUUUGAUGUUGAAAGUCAAGAAUAUGUGAAAAAAGUCGAAUGAUGAGAUAGUACAUUGUAUUUAUGACAGAGAAAGAAAAAUUACACUACACAGAAGUCACGUUUCAAAAAAGUGAAAUUGCAAAAUGACUUACGAGAUACAACUCAUAAAACAAAAUUACAAGCUUGUUAUUAAACUAUGAAAUCAACCCCAGAAAUUUGGGGCUAAAGUCAGAUUUAAAAGAGAUGGGGGACCACUGGAUGGAUGGCGCCCCAUGUACAGAGGUCAUAGUCCUCGAGUGGGCAGCCUGGGUUCAAGUUCGACUUUCAGCUACUUUCCUACUCUCCCCAUACCCUUCUCUAUCCAUAUCUGCCCUUUCAAAAGUAGUAAUAAGGCAAAAGGUUAUUGAAAAGCUGAGUUAAAUCUGAAUUACUGAUGAAUUUUAGAUACUGAUUUAAAAAUCUUGAGCAUCAUUAACAUGGCUUUACAGUGUUCAGAGUCGUAAAUGCUCUCUAAAGCUAAAACACGUCUUCAUUUGGCUCUAAAAACCUUUUUGUUCUUUUGUUUCUAUAAAAAGAUCCUUACUCUUGUGUUGAUAUCCGACGACUGCAGCUUCAUUUGAAGAAAAGUCUUUCAUGACCCCCAGAGGAGAAAUUCAGAUGAAACAGCAACACAAGGACAGAAAUAACUUCUGAAAAAGUACUAAAUACAAACUGCGCAAUGACUCUCUUAGUGACACCUCAGCUGAUCUCAUAGCUUCUCUAUGGGAUUCAGGUCUGGAAAAAGAGCACGCCUCUCCAUUUGAGGUACCCCAGCCUCCAGCCGCUGUCCCCUGACGAUACAACCUGGGGCACUGUCAUCCAUGAAGAUGAAAUCAGGCCUGUGUUGCUCAUGCAGAGGCACAGUGACUGGACAAAUGAUGUUGUUCAGGUAGUAUACGCUUGUCAAGGUGUUAGGGCAGUUUGGUAUUAACUCGAUACACCUGCCCAGACUGUAACACCACCACCUCCAAAAGGCUCGUCUGGUGACAACAGUGGCUGAUGCAUGGCGUUCUUGACAUCUCCAACGUUGUGAUGGACAUCAUUUCAUCUUUCAUGAGAGAACAGCGCUGAGGCCCACCUGUUCCUCGUCCAGUGUCCAUGCAAGACGAUGAUGUUUGUGCCUAAUGGUGUGGUCAGGUACCCUUGCAGGUCGUCUAGCAUGCAGACCAUGCUGAUGUAAGCAGUUUUGAAUGGUCUGACGUGACACUUGGGUGCCUCUCACCCCCAUUAAACAAGCCUGGAGUUGAGUGGCAUUCAUCAUCUGGCUCUGCUGGGCACUGUUCACCAUGAAGCAGUUAUCAGCUUGGGAUGUGGACAGAGGACAUCCACCUUUACACCAUUCUGUGACUCUUCCAGUCUCUCUGUGUCUCGUUUGCAACCUGCUGAUGACACUUAGUUCAGAGGCAACUUCCCCCUGAGAAGCCUCACAGUGGCCAGGUACUGCUGACUGAUUGUCAGGGCUCCAUUUUUUAUGUGUCACAUACUGGAAGAGUAUUCAGAGGACCCUUUAUGCAAAUCAUGGAAAUCCAGGAGACAGGUUUAGAGUAAGUUUCCAUUCAAAGAGCAAGCAGAGUGCACUUGUUUAUAUGUUAAGUACUGGAAGAGUAUCCAGAGGGCACUUUUUAUAUAGGAAAGGGGCAUCUAGAGGGAACAUCAAACUCUUCCUCUGUCCGUCAUAAAGCUGUCUGUUUCUGACUGGACUUCAUUCUCAGCCAGCCGUCUCAGUGUGACUUUAGUGUCACACUCUUUUUUCACGGUCCUACAUGAAGCCCUGUAGAUCUCAUGAGUAUCUUUAGUUCCUCCUGAAGCUCCAGAUCACUUUUCUUAAAACCAGGUGAGUGAAUCAGGUGGUCCUGUUCUCUGGAUGGAGGUCUGGGAGGUCAACCAGAGGGUACUUUAAAUAAGGGGCAGCUACUUUCUCUCAGUUUUCUACAUAGUUUCAGUGUAAUUUAAACAGCAGAUCAUCCAAACGUGGUGUAAAACAGAAAAAAAAGUAUAAGAUAAAUAUAAUGAUAAUGUGUGGUAAGACUCACUUCAUAAAACACAGUAUUUUGGUAAUAGAACAUAUAUAUCUGGUAAAAAAGGCUUUUAGAAUCAGUAUAUUUCUUUGAUUUGAUGUAAAUAACAGACCAAACCUUAGUGGUUUCACAUUCCUCUUUCCUCUGCCUCUUGAUACAGCAGUUCAGAGCAGGUUAUUUGUCAUUACACCAUGUUCAAAGAGAUCAGGCUGACACAAAAACAGUAAAACACAACCUGUACUCACAGCUUUACACCAGCAGAGGGCAGCAUUGUUGAUGCAGCGUCACCACCUCGUCUAGUCUAGUCACCAGAUUUUGAAGUGAGGUUUAAAUUUUUAAAUCAGACACUAAAAAAAACUCCCAAGAUAAUAAAACAUGUUUGGACUACCUUAUUAACACUUCCCAGACUUCUUCUUUAAUUAGUUUUAGUCUUCCUCAUUUGUUUUUUAAAAGUUCUUGCUUGUGCUUACAUAGACGUCUGUGAAACAGGUCAGGGGACUACAGCACCUUUGAGUUUAGAGCCGGAUCGAGUGAAUGUCUUUGGGAAUUUCAUAAUGGAAGGGCAACCAGGGCUUACUUUUUUAUGGGUUAGAAGAACAUCCAGAUGGCACUUUUCACUUUUAUAUAUUGAAAGGGCAUCCGUUUUUUAUGCCUUGCAUCCAGAAGACAGGUCUACAUGAAUUUUCCACUCAAUGGGAGGGCAGAGUGCACUGUUUAUGAGUAAGGAACUGGAAGUGUGUUGAGAGGGCACUAGUUCACUUUAUUUUUACAUAGAAAGAGCAUGUAGAAAAACUUUUUUCCUUUUAUUUUCUAGGUACUAGAAGGGAUCAAGGAACUUAUUUUGGUAUUUUCUGCUUAAAGACUUAAACUACUACAACAAGAAAACCUUUUAGUUAUGUCAAUUCAAAAUGAGACAGCAGGUAAAAAAUCUCUGAUGUUUUUAAUCACAGUGGAGUGUUUUCACUCUGCAGCAGUAAAGUUCCUGAACUCCUCCGAUCCUGCUCCAAUAAAAACUGAACCUGGUCGUCUUUGUGUUCAUGAACAGGGUUUUUGUUUGCUCGCCCAUCCUCCCUCAGCGCCAACACUCUGAGUAUAUUAGGCAUCGUAAAAUAUAAAAAAAGAACAACCACCCCCCUCUUCGUCUGGGCCCGAGCCCCCAGUUUGCUUUCAGCUGCAAAACAAAAACACACAGAGGGCGAGCAAGCCACGAGCAGACAGAGGAGAGAGAGAUGUUUUGCUUCUGGGUGAACUAGAGGAGGAGGAGGAGGGAGAGGCUGGCUGGGUCUGUUUGCCGGCUUCGUUUUGUAGCUGGUUGCUGGGUGACGGCUGUGUGUGUGUGUGUGUGUGUGUGUGUGUGUGUGUGUGUGUGUGUGUGUGUGUGUGUGUGUGUGUGUGUGUGACAGCUGUGGAGGCCCCAUCCUUUCACCCCGCCUCUGCUGCGCCUGCUGCAGGAGGAGUACGGGGAAGGAAGGGGGGAGGUCAUAAUGAGUCCAUGUGUGAAGUUCAGUCUCAGUCAGCAGCUG
rnacentral:lncRNA from 1 species